rnacentral:rRNA from 1 species
CCUACGGGAGGCAGCAGUGGGGAAUAUUGGACAAUGGGGGGAACCCUGAUCCAGCCAUGCCGCGUGUGUGAAGAAGGCCCUCGGGUUGUAAAGCACUUUCAGUGAGGAAGAACGCCUGGUGGUUAAUACCCAUCAGGAAAGACAUCACUCACAGAAGAAGCACCGGCUAACUCCGUGCCAGCAGCCGCGGUAAUACGGAGGGUGCGAGCGUUAAUCGGAAUUACUGGGCGUAAAGCGCGCGUAGGUGGCUUGAUAAGCCGGUUGUGAAAGCCCAGGGCUCAACCUGGGAACGGCAUCCGGAACUGUCAAGCUAGAGUGCAGGAGAGGAAGGUAGAAUUCCCGGUGUAGCGGUGAAAUGCGUAGAGAUCCGGAGGAAUACCAGUGGCGAAGGCGGCCUUCUGGACUGACACUGACACUGAGGUGCGAAAGCGUGGGUAGCAAACAGGAUUAGAUACCCGUGUAGUC